ensembl:lncRNA
CCAUUUUGCCAUCUCGCUGUUCCCAGCAUACGCUGCUUUUGCACUUGCUUUUGUGACGGAGGCUUCAUGGCCCACAUUCAUUGCCGCUACGGAGACAGAGUGCUACUACUAUGAUCCCCGCCACUUUAGCGAGGAGUACUGGAUGCAGAAAACCACUGCCUGGCCUGCACUAGGUUUCCCUGCAGCAACCCAGCAUGGCUGCUUUGGAGAAGGAGCUCUCGGCCUCAUGGGGGCCUAUAGGUGCAACGAGGGGCCCCUGGAGCACGCUGCCAGCUACCACCCGGCUCAAGUGGUGAACGUGAGCCAGAGAGGUGAUGCUGACCUCCCCACCGAUCAAGGUGACCUGGAGCCCCUGCAGCAGGUGCCGCUGGCCCAGCAGGAUCCUUCAGAUGCCAGGGAUCGGCGUGGGGGCCGGGGCAGGGGCCCACGAAUCCGCUUCAGGAAGUGGCAGGUGCAGACACUGGAAAGUGUUUUCCAAGAUACUCAGUACCCAGAUAUGAUCACAAGACUGGAGCUUGCAUGCAACCUGGAUGUGGCUGAAAGCAGAGUGAAGGACUUUAAAUACAGAUCGGGUUGUCAUGGCAAUGCCCCCAAACUUGGUGAAACUAUCCCUGGGGAAGAGGGGCAAGAGUCAGCUGGCCGGCCUGGGUCAGCAGUCCAGAUGCUGUGUUGCUUCAUCUG